GUGAGGAAUAUUGGUCAAUGGGCGAGAGCCUGAACCAGCCAAGUCGCGUGAAGGAAGAAGGAUCUAUGGUUCGUAAACUUCUUUUGCAGGGGAAUAAAGUGCAGGACGUGUCCUGUUUUGUAUGUACCCUGAGAAUAAGGAUCGGCUAACUCCGUGCCAGCAGCCGCGGUAAUACGGAGGAUCCGAGCGUUAUCCGGAUUUAUUGGGUUUAAAGGGUGCGUAGGUGGUUUGAUAAGUCAGCGGUGAAAGUUUGCAGCUUAACUGUAAAAAUGCCGUUGAAACUGGCGGACUUGAGUGUAAAUGAGGUAGGCGGAAUGCGUGGUGUAGCGGUGAAAUGCAUAGAUAUCACGCAGAACUCCGAUUGCGAAGGCAGCUUACUAAGCUACAACUGACACUGAAGCACGAAAGCGUGGGGAUCAAACAGGAUUAGAAACCCCUGUAGUCC
rnacentral:rRNA from 1 species